rnacentral:rRNA from 1 species
GCGUGCCUAAUACAUGCAAGUCGAACGAACUCUGGUAUUGAUUGGUGCUUGCAUCAUGAUUUACAUUUGAGUGAGUGGCGAACUGGUGAGUAACACGUGGGAAACCUGCCCAGAAGCGGGGGAUAACACCUGGAAACAGAUGCUAAUACCGCAUAACAACUUGGACCGCAUGGUCCGAGUUUGAAAAAUGGCUUCGGCUAUCACUUUUGGAUGGUCCCGCGGCGUAUUAGCUAGAUGGUGGGGUAACGGCUCACCAUGGCAAUGAUACGUAGCCGACCUGAGAGGGUAAUCGGCCACAUUGGGACUGAGACACGGCCCAAACUCCUACGGGAGGCAGCAGUAGGGAAUCUUCCACAAUGGACGAAAGUCUGAUGGAGCAACGCCGCGUGAGUGAAGAAGGGUUUCGGCUCGUAAAACUCUGUUGUUAAAGAAGAACAUAUCUGAGAGUAACUGUUCAGGUAUUGACGGUAUUUAACCAGAAAGCCACGGCUAACUACGUGCCAGCAGCCGCGGUAAUACGUAGGUGGCAAGCGUUGUCCGGAUUUAUUGGGCGUAAAGCGAGCGCAGGCGGUUUUUUAAGUCUGAUGUGAAAGCCUUCGGCUCAACCGAAGAAGUGCAUCGGAAACUGGGAAACUUGAGUGCAGAAGAGGACAGUGGAACUCCAUGUGUAGCGGUGAAAUGCGUAGAUAUAUGGAAGAACACCAGUGGCGAAGGCGGCUGUCUGGUCUGUAACUGACGCUGAGGCUCGAAAGUAUGGGUAGCAAACAGGAUUAGAUACCCUGGUAGUCCAUACCGUAAACGAUGAAUGCUAAGUGUUGGAGGGUUUCCGCCCUUCAGUGCUGCAGCUAACGCAUUAAGCAUUCCGCCUGGGGAGUACGGCCGCAAGGCUGAAACUCAAAGGAAUUGACGGGGGCCCGCACAAGCGGUGGAGCAUGUGGUUUAAUUCGAAGCUACGCGAAGAACCUUACCAGGUCUUGACAUACUAUGCAAAUCUAAGAGAUUAGACGUUCCCUUCGGGGACAUGGAUACAGGUGGUGCAUGGUUGUCGUCAGCUCGUGUCGUGAGAUGUUGGGUUAAGUCCCGCAACGAGCGCAACCCUUAUUAUCAGUUGCCAGCAUUAAGUUGGGCACUCUGGUGAGACUGCCGGUGACAAACCGGAGGAAGGUGGGGAUGACGUCAAAUCAUCAUGCCCCUUAUGACCUGGGCUACACACGUGCUACAAUGGAUGGUACAACGAGUUGCGAACUCGCGAGGGUAAGCUAAUCUCUUAAAGCCAUUCUCAGUUCGGAUUGUAGGCUGCAACUCGCCUACAUGAAGUUGGAAUCGCUAGUAAUCGCGGAUCAGCAUGCCGCGGUGAAUACGUUCCCGGGCCUUGUACACACCGCCCGUCACACCAUGAGAGUUUGUAACACCCAAAGUCGGUGGGGUAACCUUUAAAGAACCAGCCGCCUAAGGUGGGACAGAUGAUUAGGGUG